UACGUAGGGUGCGAGCGUUGUCCGGAAUUACUGGGCGUAAAGAGCUCGUAGGCGGUGUGUCGCGUCGGUCGUGAAAACUUGGGGCUUAACCCUGAGCUUGCGGUCGAUACGGGCAUCACUGGAGUUCGGCAGGGGAGACUGGAAUUCCUGGUGUAGCGGUGAAAUGCGCAGAUAUCAGGAGGAACACCGGUGGCGAAGGCGGGUCUCUGGGCCGAUACUGACGCUGAGGAGCGAAAGCGUGGGGAGCGAACAGG
rnacentral:rRNA from 1 species